rnacentral:rRNA from 1 species
UACGUAGGGGGCAAGCGUUGUCCGGAUUUACUGGGCGUAAAGAGCGCGUAGGCGGCAGCUUAAGUGUGGCCUGAAAGCCCCCGGCUCAACCGGGGAGUGCGGCUGCAAACUGGGUUUCUUGAGGGCGGCAGAGGAGAGUGGAAUUCCUGGUGUAGCGGUGAAAUGCGCAGAUAUCAGGAGGAACACCAAUUGCGAAGGCAGCUCGCUGGGACGUUACUGACGCUGAGACGCGAAAGCGUGGGGAGCAAACAGG